CCUACGUGGGGCAGCAGUGAGGAAUAUUGGUCAAUGGGCGCGAGCCUGCACCAGCCAAGUCGCGUGAGGGAAGACGGUCCUCUGGAUUGUAAACCUCUUUUGUCGGGGCGCAAAAGCCGCCACGCGUGGCGUUCCGAGAGUACCCGAAGAAAAAGCAUCGGCUAACUCCGUGCCAGCAGCCGCGGUAAUACGGAGGAUGCGAGCGUUAUCCGGAUUUAUUGGGUUUAAAGGGUGCGCAGGCGGAAGAUUAAGUCAGCGGUAAAAUGGCGAGGCUCAACCUCGUCGAGCCGUUGAAACUGGUGGUCUGGAGUGAGAGAGAAGUAUGCGGAAUGCGGGGUGUAGCGGUGAAAUGCAUAGAUAUCACGCAGAACUCCGAUUGCGAAGGCAGCAUACCGGCGCUCAACUGACGCUCAUGCACGAAAGUGUGGGUAUCGAACAGGAUUAGAUACCCGGGUAGUC
rnacentral:rRNA from 1 species